rnacentral:rRNA from 1 species
CUUGAACGCUGGCGGCGUGCUUAACACAUGCAAGUCGAUCGGUAACAGGUGUAGCAAUACAUGCUGACGAGAGGCGGACGGGUGAGGAACGCUUGGGAAUCUGCCUAUCAGCGGGGGACAACCCGGGGAAACCCGGGCUAAUACCGCAUACGCUCUACGGAGGAAAGCCGGGGACCGCAAGGCCUGGCACUGAUAGAUGAGCCCAAGUCGGAUUAGCGGUAGUUGGCGGGGUAACGGCCCACCAAGGCGACGAUCGGUAGCUGGUCUGAGAGGACGAUACGCCACACCGGAACGGGGGCACGGUCCGGACUCCUGCAGGAGGCAGCAGUGGGGAAUUGUGGACAAUGGGCGAAAGCCUGAUCGAGCGAAGCCGCGAGGGGGAAGAAGGGCUGCGGGUUGUAAAGCCCUUGCGGUAGGGACGAAAGCACGCGACCUAACACGUCGGGAGGUUGACUUAACCUACAAAAGAAGCACCGGCUAACUCUGUGCCAGCAGCCGCAGUAAGAC